GAAGGCAAGAACAGAGCAGCUGGGCUAGAGAUUGCAGCACCCUCCGGAAUGGGAGCCCAGCUGCUGGAGGACCUUGGGUCUCACACCUCUUCCUCCUAGAUGGGCAAACCCAGAAUAUUUGCUGAAUUGAAAUCUGGCAGCUAUAUCCCACUCCUGAAAAACACCUAAGCAGCACCAUGCAGAGACAGAGAGGAAGGACAAGGUAACCUGAACCAUGCCAUGCACUCCGAGAAUUCCCUACCCAGUGCCAGCACAGCAAAACCACCACCUCUGAGAUGGGGUCACUCAGGUGGGGCAAUGACAGCUGCUCCCAGAGAAGGACUUGACAGCACUUCUGGAAGACAGGACAAGCAGAAACCUUGUCAGCAGACUGCCUGAACUCUGUUUUCCUGGGAGGGUGCUCAUCCUGCUGAGCAUGGCAAGGCCCAUACAACACCAGCCAGAGGAACCACGGACUGAGAGCCUCAAGGGUAUCCUUGCUAAUCUGGCCAAAAGUCUUGAGCUGCCUGGAGCCUCCAGCUCUCAUGAAGAAUAAAUAUUAAAUAACUAUAAUAUUGCCCAUCGACUUGGCACCUAGAGCUCAAAGGACAGGCCCUCAAGGAAUUAAAAAGCUGUGACAUGCUGAACCUACCACAAGCUGUGGGAUGGACCAGAGCUCCCACUGGACAUGGUGUCUUCUGCCCAGCAUUGAAGUGCUCAGCAGUAACUUCUCCUUUGGAUGGGGACCAGAUUUGCAGGAACAAACAAUGCUGUUAUCUCCCAAGCCAACCUCAGGUCCAUAACCCGCCCAUCUUGAAGACCACCUCCAUCAGCUCUGAGUUAACACAUGACACUGGAGAGUCAUGACCAGGCAAUGACAGGAGAGUGAUGACUCGCCAAGGUCAGGGACACGGUAACAAAUCCGUGUCCUCCCUUUCCUCUGGUUUCUAUUUCCAAGGAGUCAGCUCCCAUGUGUCUGCAGUGUGAUUUACAGCUAAGCUGUGGUGGGGACUAUGCAGCAAAAACCAAGGACUCUCUCCUUUGGUAGCCACCUGGGCUUCUUGCACAGCUGCUUCUGCUGACCCAUCAUGUGUAUUUGCAAAAAUAAAACACAA